rnacentral:rRNA from 1 species
GACGAACGCUGGCGGCGUGCUUAACACAUGCAAGUCGAACGGAAAGGCCCUGCUUUUGUGGGGUGCUCGAGUGGCGAACGGGUGAGUAACACGUGAGUAACCCGCCCUUGACUUUGGGAUAACUUUAGGAAACUGGGGCUAAUACCGGAUAGGAGCUCCUGCUGCAUGGUGGGGGUUGGAAAGUGUCGGCGGUUGGGGAUGGACUCGCGGCUUAUCAGCUUGUUGGUGGGGUAGUGGCUUACCAAGGCUUUGACGGGUAGCCGGCCUGAGAGGGUGACCGGCGACAUUGGGACUGAGAUACGGACCAGACGCCUACGGGAGGCAGCAGUGGGGAAUAUUGCACAAUGGGCGGAAGCCUGAUGCAGCAGCGCCGCGUGCGGGAUGACGGCCUUCGGGUUGUAAACCGCUUUCGCCUGUGACGAAGCGUGAGUGACGGUAAUGGGUAAAGAAGCACCGGCUAACUACGUG